UGAUAUUUUCUCCGGAAUCUCUGUACGUCUUUGAUGAAUUUCAUUGAACCCUUUUCCAUCUGAUGACUGUGAAGAGGUGUC